rnacentral:pre_miRNA from 1 species
UCUCAUAGAUGAGCAGAAAAAGUGGUUUCUUAAGAUGGAAUCUACUCCUAUAAAGAUGUUGUGAA